ensembl:lncRNA
CAAUUUCCAUAAGGUGAAUACAGAAAGGAACUACAAGCAUUGGAAAUGAAUGGGGGAGUUUAAUUCAGCCGCGUUUCACUCCCACUGAGGAGGCAUACAGAUGGCUGCACAGAACUCAGCAAAAACAGAGCCAGGAGUCAGGGAGAGGGAGACUUCAACUGGGGUUUCGAGUGGAGUUGCUCAUUUAUUUCCCCCUGUAUCAGUCUGCCUCCUGGGAUAUCGCAUGGACAGGUACAGGCAAACAGUUCCAAAUAAGGGAAUGCAUGCUGUGCGAGUGUAAUGCUCUGCUUUCCUUAGUGGCAUGUUUUCAGCAAGUUUGCCAUGUGCUACAGCUGGCCUAGGCAGGAUUUUGCAAAAGGAAAGAAGAAUAUUCACACUAAGGUCCCUGAAGCCACACUUCUGCAAACUAGCAGCUACCAAAAACAUAUAUGAGGGCUGCUCUGAAAGUAAUGUCUCCUACUUUAUUAUAUUGGCCCAUGACGACAGAAGUGGAUGUAGGUGGGAUGGCAGUAGAGGUUGAACCUUGGCUUGGGAGCAGACUGUACAAUCUGCAGGAGAAAGCACCGUCUUCUGAUGGUUUGAGAAGCACCCAGAGUACUUUGAGUCUAGGCAGAGUAAAAGUAGAACUAAUAAUGCUGGAGACCAGGACUUGUACUUCAAAACCCUACAACUGAUGGAUCUCAAGUAUAUGCUAUUGACCAGAAGUGUAUUCAAUUUGCAACCCUAUGUGUCCAGUAAAUCCAUUACUUAUUGCAGGGUUAUCUCAGGGGGCUUUAAAUUUUCACCUGGGUUGCUGAAAUCAUAAUUUUACCUAGGCUAUUUUAGAUAUUUUAGAACUAGAAAGCAGGAAUAAGAGAGUAAUAAAUCAUAUAAUACAAAGCAGAAGGGACUUCAGCCUCUAACUGGUGAAUUUAAG